CAGGACUGGACACCCUGCAGACACACUGACCCCCCCAGACCAGGACUGGACACCCUGCAGACACACUGACCCCCCCAGACCAGUACUGGGGAAGCUCUGAUAGCACUUUCCUCAUCACAGCCCCCAGCAUCUACUCUGCCUCCUACUUCACAGGUGGAUCUUUCCCUCCUCCGCAAACUUGAUUUGGAAUUCAAAUCAGCAGCCAGGUGAGCCGGGCCUGGAAAACCACAGACACCCCCCCAUAUACACACCCACGGCCCUCUCCCCCGAGCCCUUCCUGGGAAAGAUGAGGAACAUCCCCUGCUCUCCGGCCCGGAGCACCGAGGCUGUGCCCAAACCUCCCGGACCGGAUCCACAGCCUCUUCACGCACGAGGAAGAGCAGAGACCCCAGCGAUCUCAUCCCCCACCCGGGGCCGACUGUGCCCCUAUCUCACGGGUCCUCCUGAGCGGUCCUCACAGCUGGACCGCUGGUAACCCGAAGAACAGCAGACCUUUCCACAGACCCUCACGGACGCGCCUGGAGAGAAAGAGGCCACCUCUCUCUACCCUCCUUUCCAUCCCCGUCACGGACACGCAAGAACACUAGAGGGAAAUGCAGAAGAGAAUCCAAUUUUCUCUGAUGAGGUGAAUACUGCGGAUGCGGGGGAGAGACAGAUACACACGGUCCCCAUCUCUCUCGGGCGGCACGUCCGGACGCCAGGCAGCCCCGGGCGCAGCGCAGACUGCUGGAGCUGCCGGGUUUUUAUAGUUGGUUCCUCUCUUGCGAGACACGGACCCGGAGCGAUUUCCGUCGUAGAGAGGAAAACAAAACCCCUAAACAGAACCGCCCCUUGCCGAGGGAUGUGCAGCUGCAUGCGCCUGUUUAUAAAGACGCACACUCCCGCAUACAUGUCCGUGUGCGUGGGUAUCGAAAUGUAAACUACACGUCAAACACCACGUCACGACAUCGCAAGGAGAUCACAAGGAGACGGGCACAGCGCGGCCACCAGCACCGGGAACCCAACCUUUCACAUUUCCACCCCACGUAGCCGAUACUCUAUCUUCCCAGGCGCUGGAGGAACACGGACGAAGGCGUUUGCUUGAGGUCACGCCAGCCAGUCUCGCCACAGACACGCAGGUGACACACAAAAAAAAACACGCAGCUCCUCACCUAGAGAGCCACGACCCCAACGGCAGCAGGACGGAGGCGCUGUGAGGGACACAGUCCAGAGGAGACACGGGCGGGCAGCGACAUUAUUAAUGUUAUUAUUAAGGAUUCCGCGCCACACCAGCCACCCACGGCUACCGUGUCGUGUUCACGUCUCUUCCGCAGCGCGCUAGCGAACAGGAAUCUCAGCGGCUCAUUUUCACUCCCUUUCUCGAGGGUGUGCGCGCGCGGGGGGGUUGCCUUCUUUCGCUUGAACGUCCACGGCAGUACCACCGCGAAGCGCACCGUCGCACCCGCCCUGGCGAUUUAAACUCCCCUCCAGCUCCACGGCGGCGGCUCGGCGCACGAAGCGCUGCAGGGCCAGCAGACGGAAGAACGGCUCGACAACCUGACAGCCGCCCUGGCCCCGCCCGCCGUCACUGACGGACAGCCGCGUUAGCCAACCGCUCGCCUGGAACGACAGCGCCGCCGACCAAUCGGAGCCUUCCGGUGGGAGAGCUGUUCGCUCGCCUAAGGAAAGCAAAGGUUCCCGCCUCGACUCCCGUGACAUCAUCGCCCUACAAAACUGUAUUAUUAUUUACUCUUCUCGCAACAGCCAGUCAAAAUUUACCGUUCGGGAAGAGAGGCGGUAUUGCCUCUUGAUGGACAGCAGCAGCACCCAAUUACAGCGCACGAAUUUGUUUACGCACUUCGGAAUACGAUCUUAGUGUCUUUGGAUAGAUGUUUUUAACCCGAGGUGCAGAAAUUAAUGCAUUGAAAAUGGUUUGUUGGAUAGAGUUGGUGUGACUGUAGGUACCUGUGAGGGAGCGAACGGACGGGUGCCUAAAGUUGGCUGAAUUUUCAGUGCCUAAAUAAAAAAUGCUCCCCCGGUUCUGAGGGUUAAUGAAGCCUUCAGUAUUUAGGGGUUUCCGUA